AAGAUUAACCUUAGUCGGUUGGGCGACGAGGAUUUACCCCAACGGUACUCUUUCUCUCUGUAAUCUCUUUCUUUUUCUCUAAAAAUUUUAUGGAUCAGUGGAGGGUCUAGAUAUUUAGAUAAACUCAGAUCAAUUGAUUGAUCUUACGAGGAGUCUUGGAUCUAUACUAUUUAGGUGUUUUUAUCCUCAAUCCAUAUGAUUUUUAUGUUUGACUCUGAUUAUACAGAGAUAUAAUUAUCUGCACAAGAAGGUGUCAAAUGGAGCACCUUGAGCCUGAGUUCAUAGAUCAAUUAUUAUGCUUGGGUCU
rnacentral:lncRNA from 1 species